UCACGGCCUAACACAUGCAAGUCGAGCGGACAGAAGGGAGCUUGCUCCCGGAUGUUAGCGGCGGACGGGUGAGUAACACGUGGGUAACCUGCCUGUAAGACUGGGAUAACUCCGGGAAACCGGAGCUAAUACCGGAUAGUUCCUUGAACCGCAUGGUUCAAGGAUGAAAGACGGUUUCGGCUGUCACUUACAGAUGGACCCGCGGCGCAUUAGCUAGUUGGUGAGGUAACGGCUCACCAAGGCGACGAUGCGUAGCCGACCUGAGAGGGUGAUCGGCCACACUGGGACUGAGACACGGCCCAGACUCCUACGGGAGGCAGCAGUAGGGAAUCUUCCGCAAUGGACGAAAGUCUGACGGAGCAACGCCGCGUGAGUGAUGAAGGUUUUCGGAUCGUAAAGCUCUGUUGUUAGGGAAGAACAAGUGCAAGAGUAACUGCUUGCACCUUGACGGUACCUAACCAGAAAGCCACGGCUAACUACGUGCCAGCAGCCGCGGUAAUACGUAGGUGGCAAGCGUUGUCCGGAAUUAUUGGGCGUAAAGGGCUCGCAGGCGGUUUCUUAAGUCUGAUGUGAAAGCCCCCGGCUCAACCGGGGAGGGUCAUUGGAAACUGGGAAACUUGAGUGCAGAAGAGGAGAGUGGAAUUCCACGUGUAGCGGUGAAUGCGUAGAGAUGUGAGGAACACCAGUGGCGAAGCGACUCUCUGGUCUGUAACUGACGCUGAGAACGAAAGCGUGGGAGCGAACAGGAUUAGAUACC
rnacentral:rRNA from 2 species